ACGAUCAACAAAAAAA
rnacentral:sRNA from 1 species